UCCCCUCUGUUCCUGGCCCCGGCAUCAUCCUAACCUUUCCCCCCAGAAUUCUCAGCCCCCAACUGCCUCUUCCCUUCCUUCUCUAGUCUUUUCUCUUGCUGGCUAUUUGUAGGGAGAAAAUGUUUGGAACAGAGAGAUAAAACCCUCUUAUAAAAAAAUCAUCAAAUUCCACUCUGGUUGCAGGACGUCCCUGGUCACUGCCGAGCUUCCUGGCUCAGACCCAAGCACCCCGCAGCGCUCCACCCGCCACCCAUCCUCCACGUCUCCUUCGUGCAGCCAACUGCCAAGACCUUUCGUUUCCCGUCUCCCUUCCGCCUCUGGCAGCACCCUGCACAGCCAUGUUUCUAACAUGCCGACGAGACAGAAAACGCUUGCACCAGUGUCCACGGCUGAGAUUUCCAAGUGCAGGUCGGGGAGAACCUGAGAAAGAGAAAUGCAGCUGAGAAUGAGCAGCUCUGUGCUAUGAAUGAUCAGCAGACAUGUGUCUCUUCUCCAUCUUAUUUGUGUCUGGUGCUGUGCAAGUAGUGAGCAAGGCAGACAAGAGCUCUGCCCUCAGUGAGCUGGUUCCUUGGAGGGCGUGAAAGCAAGGACUGUAGUGCUCCAGAAGAGGGAAAAAGACCACAUGCAGCAGUGGCUGCGUGCAUGGAGAUGAGCUCAGUGGGCUCCCCUUCUAAUUCCGGUUCCACCACGGACAGGAUACACCCCUCUAAACCUGAGCUCCCAUGUGUGAAAUAGGAGUUGUCCUACUAUCUCUUGACAUUGUUGAGUACAUGUGAUGACACAUGUAAAUGCCCACAGAGGAUCAUGGCGCAUGGCAGCAUUCACAUGUGUUAGCGAUGGCUAUUUUUACAAGAUCUUUUCCUGUGUAGUAGCUUUUACACUUAGGUCUCCAUUCUAUGAAUUGUAUACCAUCCAGGCAAAUUAUAGUUUUAAAUUCUCAGUAACAUGCAUGCUUUCUCUGUCUGAGGAAGUAAUUUGCAGAUAACAGCAUUAGCUCUCUGUUUGCCAUUACGUUCCUGUUCCAACUACAGCAUGACAUGAUGGAAGAUGAUCCGAAAUGGAGGGGUUUCGUGCCUCCGCUUUCCAAGGAAAGAAUGAACCAAACGAAUACAGGACAGCUCCUAUCUUGGGUUAUACUAAACCCUAGUCCUCAGAGGUCUGCUUCUGGGGACCCCAAAUUAAGACAAUGAACACUUUUUUCCCUACUUUUGUUAAUUCUUUGCACUAUCCAUUUUUUAAAGGAGCAUGAAUUCAAGGAACACUAGAUGCUGUUAUAUUUAAAUGAGUUAGCAAUUAUAACAAAGAUUUUUGGUAGCUUACUUAAUGGGUGACACAAUUCUUAGGAAUCAAAAAACUAUCACUCCUGUGACAAGGUCUGCAGUGAAGUAAAAUGAAGUAUGUGUGCUGUGGCUUCCAGCUGCCUCGGUUCAGCUCUCGAUACAUUGAUCUGGGGAAGGUCUCUCAACAACCAAUGAGGAAGAUACCAUUACUAUUCCCAUUUUGUACACCAGGCAAGUGAGAGGAACUGAGGUCAAGGCUACGCUCCCCGUAACUGGUAGAGAAGAUUGCUAACGUGGGUUUUCAAUUUCUGCACCAUCUGAAAGUUUGCAGUGUCAACUCUGUUAGCCUGGAUGAUCAAGAGUUAAAUCCAUUUUAUUAAUCUGACUUCUAUCUCGGACUAGAAUAAGCAGCCAUGGCUAUUUUUGUGACUUUGUGUGUGUGCACAUGUGUGUGUGCUGCCUCAUUCACCAAACACAAGAGGGCCAACAGGAGGGCCAAAGGAAUUUGCCUGUAUUACUCUAGUUCACAAAUUUUACCAGGCUAGUGAUGUAGUAAAAACAAGUCUGUAGUCUUUAUUUUGUUGUAAUUCUUCAAGUAUGGUUUGACUACAUACUUGAGGGCAUGCGAUUUUCUUUUUUACCGUAUUAGACUGUGAAUUCUGGUAAACUUUGCUUUUGGGAUAGGAGGGGAGGUCAUACUCCAUGAAAAGGAAAUUGGGUGGGACAGAGACUCUUGAACUUGGAAAAAGAGGAAACCCUGAUACUGCAAUGAAAAAUAAACCAUAACUGAAAAUGUAUGAACAAAUGGACUGUGAGUAAAUCCUAUGCAUCUGAAUUAAAGCAGAUGGAAAAUCUGG